GCAAUUCGUCGAACAGCUUGA
rnacentral:miRNA from 1 species